UUGAAUGUUUUGACGGGGAAAAUCCAGACGCUGACUUUAGGAUGGUACUUUCUGUUUUGAUUGAUCCUGAGCCACACUGGACUCUCUGGCAUGGGCAUAACCCGAGCAUCUGCAUGGCAGAGUUCUGGCUCAUUGCCAUUUGCAACAGACACGAAGGGUGGCAUCAAACAAAAGGAAACUUCUCCGUUGACCAUCAUAAAUGAUGAAGACCAAGGCUUCAACUCACUUACUGGAGUGGAUUUCCUUUUACGGAUGGCCUUGGUCACCCUGGGGAGACUAAGAAUGUUUAAGUAACUUAACAAACACUCAGUAAGGAAUGGGAUCAGGAUUCUUCUCCAGGGCUAACAGUUUUAACUGCCAUUCUACAUUUCCUGCCUGAGACAGCUGCCAACCUGGGCUUCUGUGACUGCCACUCCAUGCUUCUCAAGCCAGGGUGCACGUUAGACUCAUCUGGAGAGCUUGAUUCUUCUUAUGUUGCUAUUUUAAACUCCUGAACUCAAGUGAUCCUCCUGCCUUGGCCUCCCAAAGUGCUGGGAUUACAGGUGUGAGACACUGCACCCUGCCCAAGCACCUCUGCUCCGUGCCAUGCUCUUGGCUAAUUGGAGUUGUGAAAGGCAUGAGGAUUCUGGUCAUGGACUCAGCUCUCCCAUAGGGUUCUGACACCAAAGCAAUGGUCACAACAGUGAAAGGAAGAAUCCAUCUGGCCAGGCUCAGGUGGUUCAAGGCCUUCAGAAUCUGCCUUGAGACUCUCACUGGCUUUAGACUGAAAACCAUCUUGGCCCCGUCCAUCCGUGUAAGCAAUUUAACGACAGCUUGCAAAGCACCGAGCUUUAACAGAAAGAAGAGAUGAGCACAGCGCAAGAACUUGGACUCCAGAAGAGCUGCCUAACAGAUUAUUUUUCUGUGGCAUUUCAUGAGAACAAACGAAGUAGGAAUUUUCCUUUUGUUUGUCUGGCCUUUGGCAUCGUUUACUUUCUUUUUAUUCUUCUGAAAUGUACUUCGAGCCCUGGCAGCAUUUCUGUCCUAAAAUCUUAUUGUCAGAGGUUUAUUUUUCAGCUUUUCAAAUCAUAUCUGAUAGAGUGAGUGUACUGCCUGGACUCAUCACUUUACUUCAGAAGAAAUACAGCUCACCCUUUAAAUGACAAUGGUGACUGUCCACAUCUUUAUGUUUUCUACACUGAAGUGGCAGGCUUCAUUUAAAAAUAAUGUUUUCCCUCAUCAAAAGAGAGCUAGGGUAGAACCGUCAACUCUGCUGUUGUCUGGGUAGUGACCUAACACCCACGUUUUGGACAAUCACUCACUGUCUUAUAUUGGGUUUUCAUUGCAUGUAGGAUAAUUCUUUGUCAAUGGUAGUUUUGUCAACCGUGAUCUGAGGUAAUGAGGUUUUCUACUUUUGCUUGAAAUUUUGAAAAUAUGCAAGCUUUAAACAUUUGCAAAGUUGGAUUCUGUUUUCUUUAGAAAGCAAUCUGAUUUGCUGAUAUUCUCUCCAUCUGUCAGGGGAUGCGUGAUGUGGUGUAGACUUAAUGUGCUGCCUUUCUGGAACAUGGACAGAGUAGCAGCACAGAAAAAUGAGCAUUUCAGCUCUGUGAUGAUUUGUGAAAAAAAAUCUCAGAUCAUUGAGCAGGCAUUUUGCUGACACCUGUGAAAAGUAACCACAUGAGAGAGCAUGGCGUGAUGGUCGGAGGCCACGUGCUGGAGCUGGACUGCUUGAGUCAAAUCCCAGCUGCUCAGCUGUAGUGAACUGAAUGGUGGUCCCCAAAAGAUACAUGUAUCUCCUAAUCCCUGGAACCUGUGAAUGUGACCUUAUUAGGCAAAAGGGUCUUUGCAGAUGUAAUUACAUUGAGGCUCUCAGAGAUGAGAACAUCCUGGAUUAUCAGGGUGGGUCCUAUAUCCAAUGACAAGUGUCUCCUUAUAGGAGACAGAAGAAGUUGCAGACCCGGAAGAGACUAAGUAAAGAUGGAGGCAGAGACUGGAGUGAGGCUGCUGCAGGCCAAAAAUGCCUGGUGCCAGCAAAAGCUGGAAGAGGCAAGGAAGGACCUUUCCCUGGGGCUUUUGGAGGGAGUGCAGCCCUGCUGAUGCCUUAGUGUUGGAUAUCUGGGCUAUGGAACUAUGAGAGAGAAACUUCUGUUGUUUUAAGCCACCUAGUUUGUGGUACUCUGUUAUGGCAGCCACAGGAAACUAAUACACUCUUUACCACCU
rnacentral:lncRNA from 1 species